rnacentral:rRNA from 1 species
AAACUCUGUUAUCAGUGUCGUCCGAGUAUACACAUAAUAAACUAAAACUUUCAACAACGGAUCUCUUGGUUCCGGCAUCGAUGAAGAACGCAGCGAAAUGCGAAAAUUAAUGUGAAUUGCAGAAUUCCGUGAAUCAUCGAGUCUUUGAACGCACAUUGCGCCCUUUGGUAUU